rnacentral:rRNA from 1 species
UUAUCCUACGGGGGGCAGCAGUCGGGAAUAUUGCGCAAUGGAGGAAACUCUGACGCAGUGACGCCGCGUGCAGGAAGAAGGUUUUCGGAUUGUAAACUGCUUUAGACAGGGAAGAUAAUGACAGUACCUGUAGAAUAAGCUCCGGCUAACUACGUGCCAGCAGCCGCGGUAAUACGUAUGGUGCAAGCGUUAUCCGGAUUUACUGGGUGUAAAGGGAGCGCAGGCGGCACGGCAAGCCUGAUGUGAAAGCCCGCGGCCCAACCGCGGGACUGCAUUGGGAACUACCGGGCUGGAGUGCCGGAGAG